UAAACAUUGACAGUUAACUACACCCACUGCCCGCCUGGGAACUACGAGCAUCAGCUUAAAACCCAAAGGACUUGGCGGUGCUUUAGACCCACCUAGAGGAGCCUGUUCUAGAACCGAUAAUCCCCGUUAAACCUCACCCUUCCUUGCCAUUUCCGCCUAUAUACCACCGUCGUCAGCUUACCCUGUGAAGGCCCCAUAGUAAGCACAAUCGGCACAGCCCAGUACGUCAGGUCGAGGUGUAGCGAAUGGAAGGGGAAGAAAUGGGCUACAUUUACUAAUACAGUAAAUACGGAUGAUCACCCUGCAACGAGUAUCUGAAGGAGGAUUUAGCAGUAAGCAAAAAAUAGAGUGUUUUGCUGAAAUUGGC
rnacentral:rRNA from 1 species